rnacentral:rRNA from 1 species
UACGUAGGGGGCAAGCGUUGUCCGGAUUUAUUGGGCGUAAAGCGCGUGUAGGCGGCUAGACAGGUCCGUUGUGAAAACUCGAGGCUCAACCUCGAGAUGUCGAUGGAAACCGUCUGGCUAGAGUCCGGAAGAGGAGUGUGGAAUUCCUGGUGUAGCGGUGAAAUGCGCAGAUAUCAGGAAGAACACCUAUGGCGAAGGCAGCACUCUGGGAUGGUACUGACGCUGAGACGCGAAAGCGUGGGGAGCGAACAGG